GCGCCCUUAGCUCAGCUGGAUAGAGUACCUGGCUACGAACCAGGCGGUCGGAGGUUCGAAUCCUACAGGGCGCGCCA
rnacentral:tRNA from 1 species